rnacentral:tRNA from 1 species
GGAAGGGUGCGUGAGUGGUUGAAACGUGCGGCUUGCUAAGCCGUUGUACUGCUUAUAGCGGUACCGAGGGUUCGAAUCCCUCCCCUUCCGCCA